rnacentral:rRNA from 1 species
AUUGAACGCUGGCGGCAGGCCUAACACAUGCAAGUCGAGCGGAUGACAGGAGCUUGCUCCUGAAUUCAGCGGCGGACGGGUGAGUAAUGCCUAGGAAUCUGCCUGGUAGUGGGGGACAACGUUUCGAAAGGAACGCUAAUACCGCAUACGUCCUACGGGAGAAAGCAGGGACCGUUCGGGCCUUGCGCUAUCAGAUGAGCCUAGGUCGGAUUAGCUAGUUGGUGAGGUAAUGGCUCACCAAGGCGACGAUCCGUAACUGGUCUGAGAGGAUGAUCAGUCACACUGGAACUGAGACACGGUCCAGACUCCUACGGGAGGCAGCAGUGGGGAAUAUUGGACAAUGGGCGAAAGCCUGAUCCAGCCAUGCCGCGUGUGUGAAGAAGGUCUUCGGAUUGUAAAGCACUUUAAGUUGGGAGGAAGGGCAUUAACCUAAUACGUUAGUGUUUUGACGUUACCGACAGAAUAAGCACCGGCUAACUCUGUGCCAGCAGCCGCGGUAA